AUUGAACGCUGGCGGCAUGCCUUACACAUGCAAGUCGAACGGCAGCACGGGAGCAAUCCUGGUGGCGAGUGGCGAACGGGUGAGUAAUAUAUCGGAACGUGCCCGGUCGUGGGGGAUAACGUAGCGAAAGCUACGCUAAUACCGCAUACGAUCUACGGAUGAAAGCGGGGGAUCGCAAGACCUCGCGCGAUUGGAGCGGCCGAUAUCAGAUUAGGUAGUUGGUGAGGUAAAGGCUCACCAAGCCGACGAUCUGUAGCUGGUCUGAGAGGACGACCAGCCACACUGGGACUGAGACACGGCCCAGACUCCUACGGGAGGCAGCAGUGGGGAAUUUUGGGACAAUGGGCGCGAAGCCUGAUCCAGCAAUGCCGCGUGCAGGAUGAAGGCC
rnacentral:rRNA from 1 species